rnacentral:rRNA from 1 species
AUUGAACGCUGGCGGCAUGCCUUACACAUGCAAGUCGAACGGUAACAGGUCUUCGGAUGCUGACGAGUGGCGAACGGGUGAGUAAUACAUCGGAACGUGCCUAGUAGUGGGGGAUAACUACUCGAAAGAGUGGCUAAUACCGCAUGAGAUCUACGGAUGAAAGCAGGGGAUCGCAAGACCUUGUGCUACUAGAGCGGCCGAUGGCAGAUUAGGUAGUUGGUGGGAUAAAAGCUUACCAAGCCGACGAUCUGUAGAUGGUCUGAGAGGACGAUCAGCCACACUGGGACUGAGACACGGCCCAGACUCCUACGGGAGGCAGCAGUGGGGAAUUUUGGACAAUGGGCGCAAGCCUGAUCCAGCAAUGCCGCGUGCAGGAUGAAGGCCUUCGGGUUGUAAACUGCUUUUGUACGGAACGAAAAGCCCUGGGUUAAUACCCUGGGGUCAUGACGGUACCGUAAGAAUAAGCACCGGCUAACUACGUGCCAGCAGCCGCCGCAGUAA